AUACGGAGGGUCCAAGCGUUAUCCGGAAUCAUUGGGUUUAAAGGGUGCGCAGGCGGUUUAUUAAGUCAGUGGUGAAAUCUCGGGGCUCAACUCCGAGACUGCCAUUGAUACUGAUAAACUUGAGUUCAGUUGGAGUAGGCGGAAUGUGUAGUGUAGCGGUGAAAUGCUUAGAUAUUACACAGAACACCGAUAGCGAAGGCAGCUUACUAAACUGAUACUGACGCUGAGGCACGAAAGCGUGGGGAGCGAACAGGAUUAGAAACCCUAGUAGUCC
rnacentral:rRNA from 1 species